GACAUUGUAGCUCAGUGGUCAGAGCAUGCACCAAAAUUGCAAGUCCGCAGGUUGAAUUCCUGCUGGGGGGCA